UAAACCCUUUUUUCUCUCUCCUCCAACUUGUCACAAAUCCGAUGUGGCAGAUCUUACACCCCGCUUACAUCAUCUUGCUCUAAGAGUAAGGUUAAUAAUACAGCUGCUGGCUAUAAAAAUCUUUACAACCUAUCUCUCAGCGUACUCAUACAAUAGUCAGCUCUUCACCAUUAAUAUAUCACUCACUUAUCUCUCUCAUAGUUUUUUACCGAAGCCAGCUGCAAGCUUACAUGUCGCUUCUCCUUCUCCUCCACCUCAGCAUUUGAUUACAGAUCGCUUCUCAGCAUUUCUCCACCUCAGCAUUUGAUCUGCUUAUAUCCACAUUCAAUAUGCUUGUAGCUUGACAUAAUACUUGGUAUUGUAGCUUGACAUAAUACUUAUAUCCUCAGCAUUUGUGAAGGAGGCGGAGGAGCCCAGGAGGUAGUGCGACCGGCCAAAGAUGGAGCGCCGGCGGUGGCAACGACACAGAUCGGGAGACGCGUGGGAGAGAAAGGAAAGUUGGCU
rnacentral:lncRNA from 1 species